ACGAACGCUGGCGGCGUGCCUAAUACAUGCACGUAGAGCGCACAGUUUAUACCGUAGCUUGCUACACCAUAGACUGUGAGUUGCGAACGGGUGAGUAACGCGUAGGUAACCUGCCUGGUAGCGGGGGAUAACUAUUGGAAACGAUAGCUAAUACCGCAUAAUAUUAAUUAUUGCAUGAUAAUUAAUUGAAAGGUGCAAUUGCACCACUACCAGAUGGACCCGCGUUGUAUUAGCUAGUAGGUGAGGUAACGGCUCACCUAGGCGACGAUACAUAGCCGACCUGAGAGGGUGAUCGGCCACACUGGGACUGAGACACGGCCCAGACUCCUACGGGAGGCAGCAGUAGGGAAUCUUCGGCAAUGGACGAAAGUCUGACCGAGCAACGCCGCGUGAGUGAAGAAGGUUUUCGGAUCGUAAAGCUCUGUUGUAAGAGAAGAACGGGUGUGAGAGUGGAAAGUUCACACUGUGACGGUAUCUUACCAGAAAGGGACGGCUAACUACGUG
rnacentral:rRNA from 1 species